GGCGAGGUGGCAGAGUGGUCCAAUGCGCUUCAUCUUUGUCCGGUUUUUAAGCUUACGAGCAUAAAAAUCGCUAUCCAUGAAGUCUACUGCGGUAGUCGAAGGUUCGAAUCCUUCCCUUGCCC